rnacentral:tRNA from 1 species
UCCUCGGUAGCUCAAUGGUAGAGCAUCCGGCUGUUAACCGGAGGGUUGCAGGUUCGAGCCCUGCCCGGGGAG